rnacentral:tRNA from 1 species
GGGCCUGUAGUAAAGUGGUAUUACGCGGCAUUCGCAUUGCCGAGGCGCGGGUCCGAUUCCCGCCAGGUCCACCA